rnacentral:rRNA from 1 species
UACGGAGGAUCCAAGCGUUAUCCGGAUUUAUUGGGUUUAAAGGGUGCGUAGGCGGGAAUAUAAGUCAGUGGUGAAAGUCUGGCAGCUUAACUGUAGAAUUGCCAUUGAUACUGUAUUUCUUGAGUAUAAUUGAGGUAGGCGGAAUGUGUAGUGUAGCGGUGAAAUGCUUAGAUAUUACACAGAACACCAAUUGCGUAGGCAGCUUACUAAGUUAUAACUGACGCUGAGGCACGAAAGCGUGGGGAUCAAACAGG